rnacentral:rRNA from 1 species
AACGAACGCUGGCGGCAUGCCUAACACAUGCAAGUCGAACGAAGCCUUCGGGCUUAGUGGCGCACGGGUGCGUAACGCGUGGGAAUCUGCCCUUUGGUUCGGAAUAACAGUUGGAAACGACUGCUAAUACCGGAUGAUGACGAAAGUCCAAAGAUUUAUCGCCAGAGGAUGAGCCCGCGUAGGAUUAGCUAGUUGGUGUGGUAAAGGCGCACCAAGGCGACGAUCCUUAGCUGGUCUGAGAGGAUGAUCAGCCACACUGGGACUGAGACACGGCCCAGACUCCUACGGGAGGCAGCAGUGGGGAAUAUUGGACAAUGGGCGAAAGCCUGAUCCAGCAAUGCCGCGUGAGUGAUGAAGGCCCUAGGGUUGAAAAGCUCUUUUACCCGGGAUGAUAAUGACAGUACCGGGAGAAUAAGCCCCGGCUAACUCCGUGCAGCAGCCGCCGUAA